rnacentral:tRNA from 1 species
UCGGGGUGUGGCUCAGCUUGGCUAGAGCGCCUGGUUUGGGACCAGGAGGCCGCAGGUUCGAAUCCUGUCACCCCGAUCC